rnacentral:misc_RNA from 1 species
CAAAAAAAUGAAAUCCAACCACGCGGCCCUUGGACAAGGUUGGCCCGGUUUGAUGACGCCGGUGCCUUGAACCUGAAUAUCCGGCGGAAGGAAGUGUACUGAAAACUACAAAACCCAUAACUGUCUAUCGCGCCAAAAUUCCUGUCGUCCUGUCCUCGCCGUCAAUAUCGUUUCCCUGAAGAAGCGACACCGUUUCAGUGUCCAUCUUACCGAAUGACUCUUUCCGGUGCCCUCAUGUCCUCCGCCAUCAUCUCCUGGAAAUCCAGCGGGAGGCUUCAACAAACCAUACGGAGAUGCGUGGAGGUCAGUGGGAAGGGUCUCCACUCAGGCAAUGAAUCAACCGUGUGGUUAUCGCCGGAGUAUGCUCAGAAAGGGAGGUACUUUGAUUUCCACUCUAAAUAUUCCAUUCCUGCAUCCAUUGAUUUCGCCCAGCAAAAUUCGCCUCUUUGUACUACGCUGUCUGCUGAUCGAUUCAAAGUUCGAACCGUUGAGCACUUGCUUUCUGCUCUCGAGGCCACCGGCAUUGAUAAUUGCAAGAUUCAGAUUUUCAACAAUAAUGUCGACUCCGAAGAAGAUGAUUGCGAUUUUGAGAUUCCUAUAUUGGAUGGGUCGGCGAAACAAUGGGUUGAAGCUAUAGAAAAGGCUGGUUUGGUUGUGGCGGUAGAUGAGAGUGGCAAUAGCUGUGAAAGAAUGGCGCCUUAUUUGAAUGAGCCUGUGUAUGUGUGCAAGAAUGAUUCUUUUGUGGCUGCAAUCCCAUCGCCUAAUGUUCGCUUGACUUAUGGGAUUGAUUUUUCUAAGGUUUGUGCCAUUGGCUGCCAGUGGUUUUCUUUAGCUCCUUUGGAUGAUUCUUUCUACGUCAAACAAAUAGCUUCAUCAAGAACUUUUUGCAUAUACGAGGAGGUUUGUUUAACUUCUCUCUUGUAGUAGGUAAUUUUUAUUUUCUGUUCAAUAUCAUAGCUUGAUAUUGUUGAAUAAAGGACUAUCAACCUUUUAAGUGAUGAAAAGAAAAGGGUACUACUGGUUUUUCUUCUCAUCUUAUAUUAUCACUGUUCAGGCAUAUGAUAAUUGAAAGAUAUGUUUCUUACUGGAUUUUUGAAUUGCACAUAAAUGACAAGCAGACACCUCUCUUGUCUCUAAGUGUGGUUUAAGUUCUUAUCUUAAGUAUUAGACCCUAAAUCAACCUUUUAACUUCUCUAAAAGGUAGUAACUGUACCUCUAGGAAUUUCUUUGACUUUAACUGCUUGAAGCUAUAGGGGGGAAGUGAAGAAAAGAAUCAGCACAUAGUUAAACCUGGAUACAUUUAUAAAUUCAUCUAGAACUUAGUUCUUCACUUCUUCUCUAGAGAGUCUGCCUAUAGCCUGAGCUCUUUUCCUCUACAAGUGGGAUUCUUUUAUAAAUUCAUCUAGAACAUAGUUCUCCUUUAGACAGUCUGCCUAUAGCCAGAGCUCUUUUCAUGGUUCUCCUCUAGACAUUCUGCCAAUAGCCUGAGCUCUUUUCCCGAUGUAACUUGUAUUAAGUUUUUAAAAAAGUGACAUGUAUGCUCCCUUACAAAAUUUGUGACGUACAGUUUAUUGUUUCUAUCAUUUUUCACUUUAUUAAAAUUGAUUAUAAAAGCUAUUUUUGUAGCUGAUUAGUGAUAUAUUGUGGGUUACUUGUAUAUGCAAGAUUCUCUAAGGAAACACCUGUUUACACUUCAGGGAUAUAAAAAGUAAUUGUGCAUACACCACUAUAAGAUCACCCUAUUUCAUUGGUUCACAGUGAGUUAACAAAAUUUCUUCAAGUGCUUCAGGUGGUCUAUUAGUAUAAUGCCUAUGUCAAUGGAGGAUGGAAAAAUAUUUCUGGAGCAACUGGCUGUCGAUGGUUCCAGUGAAUUAGAAAAAGGUGGAGCAAAUGCGAAAUAUAGGACUCAUUAAAGGGGGAACAUUAGAGAAUGCUAUUGUUUGCAGGUGAUUAGCGAGAUGCUUUAUUCAUUUUUUAAGAAGAAGGUUCCAAGAUGCUAGAUAGCAUACGCUUAUUGUGCUGCUUUAGCUGUCAUGACUCCCAUGCCAAAGGAAAAUGAUGAAAGUCAAAAAUAUCUCUAAAAUAUUAGGAGUUGCUUGCAAUUCACUGGAGCACUUUUGUUAAAUUCUUUUACAUAGCAAGCAAUUCCCUUCUUUUUAAAGCAAAAUAUAUUAACUGGUUCUCUUGUUAAACUAAAGUAGACCAUUUGCUUUUGCUGGAAAAUGGAUGGAAUGACAUGAAACCUGGAUUCAAUUUAAUUUAUACACAUGGAAAAUGAGUGUAAGAUUGAAACCUAUGAAUUAGUUAGCUCUUCACUCUGUUUAUUAUGUAAUCCAUUGUCUUUGUCUGUAGUGCCAGUAAAGGCUGGUUGAAUCCACCACUUCGUUUCCCUGAUGAACCUUGUCGUCAUAAGAUCUUGGAUCUUAUUGGUGACCUUUCCCUGUUUGCACGGCUUGGUAAUCAAGGGCUUCCAGUGGCACACAUAAUUGCUUACAAGGUUUUCUCUAGACCUUUUUUCGUUUCUUGCAUGUUUUGACAGCUAUAGUCCAUGUCCAUUAAAUGUUUAUGGAUUAUUUUAGCAAUCAUGAAAAAUUUUCUAAUCUUCAGGCUUCUUUUACAUUUGUUUUUUAAUUUAUGUAUUCUUGUCUGGGAGGAUAUUGCAGUGAUAAUGCAGGAGUUCAGGUUUUAUAUUUUUAACCAAACAGUAGGAAAGUUCCGUUUCGCCUGUCUUUGUGGGUAAUAUAUGAAUAAUGAUAGGUUACCUUGGAUAUUCUAUAGUUACCAAAUUUUGCAAAACCAUCAACUAUGCUUAUUUACUAAAUCCAUUGACUUGUUCCUUUCUGAUGUUCCUGAUUUAAUAAAAUGGACAAAUAAAUUUAUGUGCAACUGUGCUUGAAGUUGAAAUUGACAUUUUCAUCUUGGUAAUAAAAAAUCAAAAUAUUCACACUUUUUAUUGUUGACAGCACAUCACUUGUUUAUUGAUUCUAGCUAUCAUUCCCUAAGCAGUGAUCUAGAUGUUCCAAGUAUUUCUGGAAAUUUUAUAGAAGCAAUUCCUUACACUUCAGCUUAUUUACACUUGAAUUUCAACAAAAGCUUGUGGAGUACUGUUGCUGUUGGUGUGUCCCGUCAAAAACUUGUCAUUCUGGCAGUUUGAAUUUCCCUUGCCUGAUAAAGUGUUGUCAUUUUCUGUCGUGUGAUUAUUGAAUGCAAUUGAUUUAUGCGUUUCCCAAUAUUGUGGCUGUAUCAUGUGAAAGCUCUGCAUUCAUUAUCUUUACUAAUGUUGUUGGCUAAUGAUUAUGUGACAAUUGCCAAGACUUUUGUCUAAGUUUCUAACUAAAUAUAAUGUAAUCCAGGGUGGCCAUGCACUGCAUGCUGAUUUUGUGUGUCGCCUUAAUGACCUAUUGAAGAAGUAACUUUGCUGUCCAUAAAAAUCGAAAAGUUGGGCAUCUCUUAUAUAUAGAAUUUUGACUGAUUGAGAACACAUCAACUUUGUUCUGAUGAUUUAAUUCACAUGGAGAACACACGAGUUCUGACGAGAAUUAUAGAGACGCAGCCAGUCUUGCAGCUUAUGGUAAGGGUCUUGUGUCGUUCAGUGAUCGGAAAAAAGAGGGAC